rnacentral:tRNA from 1 species
GGAGGGUACAGCUCAGUGGUAGAGCGCGUGCUUAGCAUGCAUGAGGUCCUGGGUUCACUCCCCAGUCCCUCCA